rnacentral:rRNA from 1 species
CCUACGGGAGGCAGCAGUGGGGAAUCUUGCGCAAUGCGGGAAACCGUGACGCAGCGACGCCGCGUGAGGGAAGAAGGCCUUCGGGUUGUAAACCUCUUUCAGGAGGGACGCGGUACCUCCAGAAGAAGCCCCGGCUAACUACGUGCCAGCAGCCGCGGUAAUACGUAGGGGGCAAGCGUUGUCCGGAUUUAUUGGGCGUAAAGAGCGUGUAGGCGGCUAGGUAGGUCCGUUGUGAAAACUCGAGGCUCAACCUCGAGACGUCGAUGGAAACCAUCUAGCUAGAGUCCGGAAGAGGAGAGUGGAAUUCCUGGUGUAGCGGUGAAAUGCGCAGAUAUCAGGAAGAACACCCGUGGCGAAGGCGGCUCUCUGGUACGGCUGACGCUGAGACGCGAAAGCGUGGGGAGCAAACAGGAUUAGAUACCCUUGUAGUC